AUUGAACGCUGGCGGCAUGCUUUACACAUGCAAGUCGAACGGCAGCGCGGGCUUCGGCCUGGCGGCGAGUGGCGAACGGGUGAGUAAUACAUCGGAACGUGCCCAGUAGUGGGGGAUAGCUCGGCGAAAGCCGGAUUAAUACCGCAUACGACCUGAGGGUGAAAGCGGGGGAUCUUCGGACCUCGCGCUAUUGGAGCGGCCGAUGGCAGAUUAGCUAGUUGGUGGGGUAAAGGCCUACCAAGGCGACGAUCUGUAGCUGGUCUGAGAGGACGACCAGCCACACUGGGACUGAGACACGGCCCAGACUCCUACGGGAGGCAGCAGUGGGGAAUUUUGGACAAUGGGCGAAAGCCUGAUCCAGCAAUGCCGCGUGUGUGAUGAAGGCCUUCGGGUUGUAAAGCACUUUUGGCGGGAACGAAAAGGACUGUGCCAAUUU
rnacentral:rRNA from 1 species